rnacentral:ncRNA from 1 species
CAACCCCAUGAUAAAUGAGAUAAUCUAGGGACUUUACUACCAUUCUAAAAAAUACUUUUGUUGGAUGGACCCUAAGUGUCCCGUAUCCUAUGAUUCUCACUUGUUGAUAGGCAGGAAGACUGAGGCUUUGCAGAGUGUCUCAGAAGCAUAGAGGAAAAAUUUCCUGAAGUCCAUGGCCUUGAUCAUGCCUAUAUUUGAGGGUCAUUCGAUCAUGUCAUAAGAUUUCCCAAAAAUCAAUCUCAAUGAAGAGGGUGUUGAAAUCAAGGAAACAUUUGAGGGCAUUCCAUAACUUUUUCCCUUUGAAGCAAUAUCACAGACAACUUUCCAUCCAAAGUCAACAAAAUUGAAACCCAUUUUUGAGAGUUGUUGGUGCCUCAUCCUAUAAUUGACGACAACGUUAGGAAAUCCAGAGACGUCGUCGGGGGCCUCGGGAAGAGUUAUCUUUUAUUUUUAACAACUUUCCCACCAUGAAAUCAGCUCAACCGGAGAUAGGGUCCAACAACUGGAAGAUCAUCGCAUGUCUUGUGGUGUCCAGUGUGCCCUCAGUGGCCCUUGAAAAUAUGGAGGAUCGAGUACUGUCCAUACCUGAUCAUACUCAUAACCGCAUCAAGUCUCCAAGGUGAACAACCUCUGGUCAAUAGAACAAUGUAGGCAAGGGAAGUUGGAAAAACAGAUCCAUAACUUCGGGAAAAGGAUUGGCUCUGAUGGCUGGGUCUAGGGUUCUGCGUCCUCAACAUGUGGGUUGUCGACAGUUUUCCCAUGGGACUGUCAUUGAUUAAUGCUACCUCCUUUUGAAUGGUAGUGCAACUAAUUAAUGCUACCUCCUUUUCUAUGGUAGAGCACCACCUAUCAUUCAUGAUCCAACACAUAGUAGUCAAGAAUCCCAUCCAUUGCUAAUUGUUG